AGUGAACGCUGGCGGUAGGCCUAACACAUGCAAGUCGAACGGCAGCACAGUAAGAGCUUGCUCUUACGGGUGGCGAGUGGCGGACGGGUGAGGAAUACAUCGGAAUCUACUUUUUCGUGGGGGAUAACGUAGGGAAACUUACGCUAAUACCGCAUACGACCUACGGGUGAAAGCAGGGGAUCUUCGGACCUUGCGCGAUUGAAUGAGCCGAUGUCGGAUUAGCUAGUUGGCGGGGUAAAGGCCCACCAAGGCGACGAUCCGUAGCUGGUCUGAGAGGAUGAUCAGCCACACUGGAACUGAGACACGGUCCAGACUCCUACGGGAGGCAGCAGUGGGGAAUAUUGGACAGUGGGCGCAAGCCUGAUCCAGCCAUACCGCGUGGGUGAAGAAGGCCUUCGGGUUGUAAAGCCCUUUUGUUGGGAAAGAAAAGCAGCAGGUUAAUACCCCGCUGUUCUGACGGUACCCAAAGAAUAAGCACCGGCUACUUCGUG
rnacentral:rRNA from 1 species